GAAUCCGUGGGCAGAGCUUCGCCGCUGUGACUUUGCAGAACCGGCGGCGCGUGCUGGCACUCAGCACUGCAGAGCUCCUUGUGCUCAUCGCUUUGCCGUGUGCAGUGAGUGCCCUGAAAAUACCACGCUGUGCUGAUUCACUCCGUGAUGAAGAAUGAACACACAAGCCAUGCAGUCAAUAGGUCGUUGGCUCACAUAGUUCGGACUUCCCCUCAUUUCGGCGUGGCGUGCUCUUGCUUUGCUUAACCGCAGGGAAAAUUCCUGGAGAUGAUCGCUCGCCUCCAGGGAUCAAGGGCAAAAAAAGCAGAACAUGAAGCCAACCUCUGGGCCUGGCCCUGCCCCUGCUGCCUUCAUUCCUGUGGCCGUGGGGAGCUGGGGGUGGAAAUCCGAGCAGGGAUCUCUCCCACAGUUUGCUUUGGCAUCAGCAGUGGGGUUUGCCUUGAGAGUGCUUGGCUGGAAAACCGCCUCUUGUCCCCUGGCUACGUGUUAGGGAUGGAUGUGAGCUGUCCAACCACACCAUCUCCACCAUGGGAUGUGGCCAUCAGCUCUUGUCCACGGCUCCUGGGGAGGGAGGGAGGGAAGGAGAAGCGUGCCCAGUGCAGCCCUGUUUCUCCAGCGCACAGCUCAGAGAAAUGUAAUUACACCGUGUCCUUCGUCUCAAUGUGGAGCAGCAGCAGGCUGAGUCUCAUGGGACGUUCUUCAUUGCAUUGAAAGCUGACUUUAUUAAUUACCAGCCUCUGAUCUCAUUUGAGGGCUGAGUUUAUGAAAUGGAAUCCUUAUUUCUCUGCGUUCCUUGUUCAUCUCUCUUAUUGAGCUGUGUCCAGUGGAUGUCUGGGGCUUUAGAAACUCCUGGGCUCUCCUGUUAUGCAGCCACGAGCUGUGCAGAGCAAGGCGACGUGGUGGAGUUGCCCUGAAAUCCUGGGGAAAGAGGGAGAAAGAAAUCUCCUCUCAAGAAAACUGGCAAUGGGGACAGCUGCCUGGUGUUGCUGCUCAUUGUGCCCUCCCUGGGAUGCCCCUUUCCCCAUGUGGGAGGUGGUGGCAGCAUCCAGAGGUGCUGGGGUGGCUUCCCAGAGCCGUGCUCAGCGCUGGGUGCAGCUCAGCUCCACCUGGGGACAGCUUCCCAACCUGCAUCCAUGCAGUGAGCCCUGGGUUUGCCUUUAGGCACUUACAGGAGUGCCUGUUUCUUCAUCUAGAUGUCAAAUAUUAUUUUAUUUUAAAAGGGAAAAUAGCCACUAAACAGCCCUUGAAGCAUCAGGCUAGUGCCUAAUUCCACUUG